rnacentral:rRNA from 1 species
GGUUAAGCGACUAAGCGUACACGGUGGAUGCCCUGGCAGUCAGAGGCGAUGAAGGGCGUGCUAAUCUGCGAUAAGCGCCGGUAAGGUGAUAUGAACCGUUAUAACCGGCGAUACCCGAAUGGGGAAACCCAGUGUGAUUCGUCACACUAUCAUUAACUGAAUCCAUAGGUUAAUGAGGCGAACCGGGGGAACUGAAACAUCUAAGUACCCCGAGGAAAAGAAAUCAACCGAGAUUCCCCCAGUAGCGGCGAGCGAACGGGGAGGAGCCCAGAGCCUGAAUCAGCAUGUGUGUUAGUGGAAGCGUCUGGAAAGGCGCGCGAUACAGGGUGACAGCCCCGUACACAAAAGCGCAUGUGCUGUGAGCUCGAUGAGUAGGGCGGGACACGUGGUAUCCUGUCUGAAUAUGGGGGGACCAUCCUCCAAGGCUAAAUACUCCUGACUGACCGAUAGUGAACCAGUACCGUGAGGGAAAGGCGAAAAGAACCCCGGCGAGGGGAGUGAAAAAGAACCUGAAACCGUGUACGUACAAGCAGUGGGAGCCCCACCACUAAGCCAGUGGUGAACUCCACAUACGCAUCCUUUGCUGAGGAUACGGUUAACGGAGCGAAAGCGACGUUCAACCUCAAAAGAAGCAGAGGGGGCUUAGUGGUGGGGUGACUGCGUACCUUUUGUAUAAUGGGUCAGCGACUUAUAUUCUGUAGCAAGGUUAACCGAAUAGGGGAGCCGUAGGGAAACCGAGUCUUAAUUGGGCGUUAAGUUGCAGGGUAUAGACCCGAAACCCGGUGAUCUAGCCAUGGGCAGGUUGAAGGUUGGGUAACACUAACUGGAGGACCGAACCGACUAAUGUUGAAAAAUUAGCGGAUGACCUGUGGCUGGGGGUGAAAGGCCAAUCAAACCGGGAGAUAGCUGGUUCUCCCCGAAAGCUAUUUAGGUAGCGCCUCGUGAAUUCAUCUCCGGGGGUAGAGCACUGUUUCGGCUAGGGGGCCAUCCCGGCUUACCAACCCGAUGCAAACUGCGAAUACCGGAGAAUGUUAUCACGGGAGACACACGGCGGGUGCUAACGUCCGUCGUGAAGAGGGAAACAACCCAGACCGCCAGCUAAGGUCCCAAAGUCAUGGUUAAGUGGGAAACGAUGUGGGAAGGCCCAGACAGCCAGGAUGUUGGCUUAGAAGCAGCCAUCAUUUAAAGAAAGCGUAAUAGCUCACUGGUCGAGUCGGCCUGCGCGGAAGAUGUAACGGGGCUAAACCAUGCACCGAAGCUGCGGCAGCGACGCUGAUGCGUUGUUGGGUAGGGGAGCGUUCUGUAAGCCUGUGAAGGUGGCCUGUGAGGGUUGCUGGAGGUAUCAGAAGUGCGAAUGCUGACAUAAGUAACGAUAAAGCGGGUGAAAAGCCCGCUCGCCGGAAGACCAAGGGUUCCUGUCCAACGUUAAUCGGGGCAGGGUGAGUCGACCCCUAAGGCGAGGCCGAAAGGCGUAGUCGAUGGGAAACGGGUUAAUAUUCCCGUACUUGGUGUUACUGCGAAGGGGGGACGGAGAAGGCUAUGUUGGCCGGGCGACGGUUGUCCCGGUUUAAGCGUGUAGGUGUGUGUUCCAGGUAAAUCCGGUUCACUUUAACACUGAGGCGUGACGACGAGGCACUACGGUGCUGAAGCAACAAAUGCCCUGCUUCCAGGAAAAGCCUCUAAGCAUCAGGUAACAUCAAAUCGUACCCCAAACCGACACAGGUGGUCAGGUAGAGAAUACCAAGGCGCUUGAGAGAACUCGGGUGAAGGAACUAGGCAAAAUGGUGCCGUAACUUCGGGAGAAGGCACGCUGACAUGUAGGUGAAGUGAUUUACUCACGGAGCUGAAGUCAGUCGAAGAUACCAGCUGGCUGCAACUGUUUAUUAAAAACACAGCACUGUGCAAACACGAAAGUGGACGUAUACGGUGUGACGCCUGCCCGGUGCCGGAAGGUUAAUUGAUGGGGUCAGCGCAAGCGAAGCUCCUGAUCGAAGCCCCGGUAAACGGCGGCCGUAACUAUAACGGUCCUAAGGUAGCGAAAUUCCUUGUCGGGUAAGUUCCGACCUGCACGAAUGGCGUAAUGAUGGCCAGGCUGUCUCCACCCGAGACUCAGUGAAAUUGAACUCGCUGUGAAGAUGCAGUGUACCCGCGGCAAGACGGAAAGACCCCGUGAACCUUUACUAUAGCUUGACACUGAACAUUGAGCCUUGAUGUGUAGGAUAGGUGGGAGGCUUUGAAGUGUGGACGCCAGUCUGCAUGGAGCCGACCUUGAAAUACCACCCUUUAAUGUUUGAUGUUCUAACGUGGACCCGUAAUCCGGGUUGCGGACAGUGUCUGGUGGGUAGUUUGACUGGGGCGGUCUCCUCCUAAAGAGUAACGGAGGAGCACGAAGGUUGGCUAAUCCUGGUCGGACAUCAGGAGGUUAGUGCAAUGGCAUAAGCCAGCUUGACUGCGAGCGUGACGGCGCGAGCAGGUGCGAAAGCAGGUCAUAGUGAUCCGGUGGUUCUGAAUGGAAGGGCCAUCGCUCAACGGAUAAAAGGUACUCCGGGGAUAACAGGCUGAUACCGCCCAAGAGUUCAUAUCGACGGCGGUGUUUGGCACCUCGAUGUCGGCUCAUCACAUCCUGGGGCUGAAGUAGGUCCCAAGGGUAUGGCUGUUCGCCAUUUAAAGUGGUACGCGAGCUGGGUUUAGAACGUCGUGAGACAGUUCGGUCCCUAUCUGCCGUGGGCGCUGGAGAACUGAGGGGGGCUGCUCCUAGUACGAGAGGACCGGAGUGGACGCAUCACUGGUGUUCGGGUUGUCAUGCCAAUGGCACUGCCCGGUAGCUAAAUGCGGAAGAGAUAAGUGCUGAAAGCAUCUAAGCACGAAACUUGCCCCGAGAUGAGUUCUCCCUGAGACUUAGAGUCUCCUGAAGGAACGUUGAAGACGACGACGUUGAUAGGCCGGGUGUGUAAGCGCAGCGAUGCGUUGAGCUAACCGGUACUAAUGAACCGUGAGGCUUAACCUU